GUUGAAACAGUAGUUCUCGUACGAUCACCAAAGUUAAGCAACAUCGAGUCUGGUCAGUACCUAGAUUGAUGACUGCUUGGGAAUACCAGGUGCAGUA
rnacentral:rRNA from 1 species